UGUUUGAUCCUGGCUCAGGACGAACGCUGGCGGCGUGCCUAACACAUGCAAGUCGAACGCGAACGGGGGGCAACCCCCUAGUAGAGUGGCGCACGGGUGAGUAACACGUGGGUAAUCUACCUUCGGGUGGGGUAUAACAGCUCGAAAGGGCUGCUAAUCCCGCAUAAGACCACAGGGGCUUCGGCCCCAGGGGCCAAAGCAGCAAUGCGCCUGAAGAUGAGCCCGCGGCCCAUCAGCUAGUUGGUGAGGUAACGGCCCACCAAGGCUCUGACGGGUAGCUGGUCUGAGAGGACGACCAGCCACACUGGGACUGGAACACGGCCCAGACUCCUACGGGAGGCAGCAGUGAGGAAUUUUGGACAAUGGGCGAAAGCCUGAUCCAGCAACGCCGCGUGGGUGAUGAAGGCCUUCGGGUUGUAAAGCCCUUUCGGGAGGAACGAGAAAGGACGGUACCUCCAGAAGAAGCACCGGCUAACUCCGU
rnacentral:rRNA from 1 species